rnacentral:rRNA from 1 species
UCCGUAGGUGAACCUGCGGAAGGAUCAUUAAAAGUAAUUGGUUAUACAUAUCCUGUAUCAACUGCACAAACCCAUUCCGAGUACCUUGCCUGUUGCUUCCAUGGGGCCUGACUUUGGUCACUCUUGUGAUGCGAAUCCCAAGAGAGUCCCCAUGGGGGGUAAUCAUUAAAUUCAUGAAUCCAAUGUCUUCUGUCUGAAAUGUUAAAAACAAAUGUUAAAACUUUCAACAACGGAUCUCUUGGUUCUCGCAUCGAUGAAGAACGCAGCGAAAUGCGAUAAGUAGUGUGAAUUGCAGAAUUCAGUGAAUCAUCGAAUCUUUGAACGCACAUUGCGCCUCCUGGUAUUCCGGGAGGCAUGCCUGUUCGAGCGUCAUUAAAUACCUCUCAAGCACAUUUGCUUGGUCGUGGAAGAUGAGUAUGCUUGCAUUCUCCCUUCUGAAAUUCACAGGCGGAUGAUCUCAUAUCCCCAGGCGUAGUAAGUUUAUCUUUUCGCUCGGUGUGUGUGAUAGUCCUGCCUUCAACCCCCAAUUUUUUUUUCCAGGUUGACCUCGGAUCAGGUAGGGAUACCCGCUGAACUUAAGCAUAUCAAUAAGCGGAGGAA